GUGCUUAAAACAAAAUCCACCUGGAUAUGCCCUCUCUGCUUCUACACAACAGCGGAAAGAAGCAAUAACUAUGGAUACCAAGCAUGUCAGGCUUCUUCUACUCCACUCACAAAAUUUUGGCUCCAUCUUUCCAGAGCCAGCAAUGGCAGCUCAAGUAUAGGAGUGAGUGAUUGCUGUUAAUACACCAAAUCUAAAUGAUGGAGACUCUGCCACUGGGAGAAGUGAGAUCCUCCUCACUCCUUGUUUGGAAUAAAGUCAAGCCUGAGGACAGGAGAUAUGCUCCAGGCUGCUCAGACAAUUUUAAAAUCUAGACUUUAAGCAAUAAAAACAAAAGUUUUCUGACAUGCCAUGAGGCUCAGCUUGGAUCAUAUCUAAAGAUCACAAGGCAUGGGGGCCAAACCCCUACAUAAAAAUUAAGAAGUCGGGGGCUGGCCCCGUGGCUGAGUGGUUAAGUUCACAGGCUCUGCUUCAGCAGCCCAGGGUUUCACUGGUUCAGCUCCUGGACGUGGACAUGGCACUGCUUGUCAGGCUGUGCUGAGGUACCAUCCCACAUGCCACAAUUAGAAGGACCCACAACUAAAUAU
rnacentral:lncRNA from 1 species